ensembl:misc_RNA Metazoa_SRP Metazoan signal recognition particle RNA
GCUGGGCAUGGUGGUGGAUGCCUGUAGUCCUAGCUCCUCAGGAGGCUGAGUUGGGAGAAGUGCUUGAGCCCAGGAAGUUGGGGCUGUAGUGAGCUGUGAUUGCACCACUGCACUCCAGCCUGGGCGACACAGCAAGACCCUGUCUCAA